GACGAACGCUGGCGGCGUGCUUAACACAUGCAAGUCGAACGAGAAUCUGUGGAAAGAGGAUUCGUCCAAUUGAAGCAGAGGACAGUGGCGGACGGGUGAGUAACGCGUGAGGAACCUGCCUUUCAGAGGGGGACAACAGUUGGAAACGACUGCUAAUACCGCAUAAGACCACAGUACCGCAUGGUACAGGGGUCAAAGAAUUAUCGGUACAGGAUGGACUCGCGUCCCAUUAGCUAGUUGGCGGGAUAACAGCCCACCAAGGCGACGAUGGGUAGCCGACCUGAGAGGGUGAUCGGCCACACUGGGACUGAGACACGGCCCAGACUCCUACGGGAGGCAGCAGUGGGGAAUAUUGGGCAAUGGGCGCAAGCCUGACCCAGCAACGCCGCGUGAAGGAAGAAGGUCUUCGGAUUGUAAACUUUUGUCGCCGGGAACGGAUAAUGACGGUACCCGGUAAGAAAGCCCCGGCUAACUACGUG
rnacentral:rRNA from 1 species